GCAGGAGAAUCGCCUGAACCCAGGAGGCGGAGAUUACAUUGAGCUGGGAUUGUGCUGCUGACUCCAGCCUGAGUGACAGAGUGAGACCCUGUCUCAAAAAGAAAAAAAAAA